CAGUCGCCACGGUAAUACGUAGGUGGCGAGCGUUGUCCGGAAUCAUUGGGCGUAAAGGGAGCGCAGGCGGGCAUGUAAGUCUUUCUUAAAAGUUCGGGGCUCAACCCCGUGAUGGGAAAGAAACUACAUGUCUUGAGUACAGGAGAGGAAAGCGGAAUUCCCAGUGUAGCGGUGAAAUGCGUAGAUAUUGGGAGGAACACCAGUGGCGAAGGCGGCUUUCUGGACUGCAACUGACGCUGAGGCUCGAAAGCCAGGGGAGCGAACGGGAUUAGAUACCCCAGUAGUCCCUGUCUCUUAUACA
rnacentral:rRNA from 1 species